rnacentral:rRNA from 1 species
CGGAACGUGCCCUGUAGUGGGGGAUAAUAAUCGAAAGACUAGCUAAUACCGCAUACGACCUGAGGGUGAAAGUGGGGGACCGCAAGGCCUCAUGCUAUAGGAGCGGCCGAUGUCUGAUUAGCUAGUUGGUGGGGUAAAGGCCCACCAAGGCGACGAUCAGUAGCUGGUCUGAAAGGACGAUCAGCCACACUGGGACUGAAACACGGCCCAGACUCCUACGGGAGGCAGCAGUGGGGAAUUUUGGACAAUGGGGGCAACCCUGAUCCAGCAAUGCCGCGUGUGUGAAGAAGGCCUUCGGGUUGUAAAGCACUUUUGUCCGGAAAGAAAUCGCACUGGUUAAUACCUGGUGUGGAUGACGGUACCGGAAGAAUAAGGACCGGCUAACUACGUGCCAGCAGCCGCGGUAAUACGUAGGGUCCAAGCGUUAAUCGGAAUUACUGGGCGUAAAGCGUGCGCAGGCGGUUGUGCAAGACCGAUGUGAAAUCCCCGGGCUUAACCUGGGAAUUGCAUUGGUGACUGCACGGCUAGAGUGUGUCAGAAGGAGGUAGAAUUCCACGUGUAGCAGUGAAAUGCGUAGAGAUGUGGAGGAAUACCGAUGGCGAAGGCAGCCUCCUGGGAUAACACUGACGCUCAUGCACGAAAGCGUGGGGAGCAAACAGGAUUAGAUACCCUGGUAGUCCACGCCCUAAACGAUGUCAACUAGUUGUUGGGGAUUCAUUUCCUUAGUAACGUAGCUAACGCGUGAAGUUGACCGCCUGGGGAGUACGGUCGCAAGAUUAAAACUCAAAGAAUGACGGGGACCCGCACAAGCGGUGGAUGAUGUGGAUUAAUUCGAUGCAACGCGAAAAACCUUACCUACCCUUGAC